rnacentral:rRNA from 1 species
GACGAACGCUGGCGGCGUGCCUAACACAUGCAAGUCGAACGGUUAAGCGCCUUCCUUUUUGGUGGGUGUGGAUGAGCGGCGAACGGGUGAGUAACACGUUAGCAACCUGCCCCCUUCUUCUGGAUAACCGCAUGAAAGUGCGGCUAACACGGGAUAUUCUGGGUCUCUCGCAUGAUGGGUCAGGGAAAGAUAUUGUUUCGGUGGGGGCUGGGCUCGCGGCCUAUCAGCUUGUUGGUGGGGUGAUGGCAUACCAAGGCGGUGACGGGUAGCCGGCCUGAGAGGGUCGACGGUCAUAAUGGGAAGGAGUGACGGCACGGACUACAGUAGGAAGCAGCAGGGGGGAAUAGUGCACGAUGGGGGAAAGUAUGAGGCAACGACGCGGGGUGGGGGAGGGAGGACUGCGGGUUGUAAUCCUCUAUCAGAAGAGAAGCAGGCCUGCCUCGGUUGUGAAUGGGUUGACGGUAGCUGAAUAAUAAGCGCCGGCUAACUACGUG